rnacentral:rRNA from 1 species
CCUACGGGUGGCAGCAGUGAGGAAUAUUGGUCAAUGGGCGCGAGCCUGAACCAGCCAAGUCGCGUGAGGGAAGACGGCCCUACGGGUUGUAAACCUCUUUUGCCGGGGAGCAACGGGCGCCACGCGUGGCGCCACUGAGAGUACUCGGAGAAAAAGCACCGGCUAACUCCGUCCCAGCAGCCGCGGUAAUACGGAGGAUGCGAGCGUUAUCCGGAUUGAUUGGGUUAAAAGGGUGCGUAGGCGGAGCGUUAAGUCAGUGGUCAAAUUGAGGGGCUCAACCCCUUCCCGCCAUUGAAACUGGCGCUCUUGAGUGGAAGAGAAGUAUGCGGAAUGCGUGGUGUAGCGGUGAAAUGCAUAGAUAUCGCGCAGAACCCCGAUUGCGAAGGCAGCAUGCCGGCUUCCGACUGACGCUGAGGCACGAAAGCGUGGGGAUCGAACAGGAUUAGAUACCCGGGUAGUC